AUUGAACGCUGGCGGCAUGCCUUACACAUGCAAGUCGAACGGUAACGCGGGGCAACCUGGCGACGAGUGGCGAACGGGUGAGUAAUGUAUCAGAACGUGCCCAGUCGUGGGGGAUAAAUGCUCGAAAGAGCAGCUAAUACCGCAUACGACCUGAGGGUGAAAGCGGAGGAACGCAAGACCUCGCGCAAUUGGAGCGGCCGAUAUCAGAUUAGGUAGUUGGUGGGGUAAAGGCUCACCAAGCCAACGAUCUGUAGCUGGUCGGAGAGGACGACCAGCCACACUGGGACUGAGACGCGGCCCAGACUCCUACGGGAGGCAGCAGUGGGGAAUUUUGGACAAUGGACGCAGGUCUGAUCCAGCCAUGCCGCGUGGGGGAAGAAGGCCUUCGGGUUGUAAACCGCUUUUGUCAGGGAAGAAACGCUCUGGGUUAAUACCUCGGGGUAAUGACGGUACCUGAAGAAUAAGCACCGGCUAACUACGUGCCAGCCGCCGCAGUAACAC
rnacentral:rRNA from 1 species